CCAAAGGCUCUUUUCAGAGCCAUCUACAUUUUCAAGUGAAAGAGU
rfam:Cavia porcellus supercont2_38 genomic scaffold, whole genome shotgun sequence.